AACACAGGGAUUACCUCAGUAACGGCGAGUGAAGCGGUAACAGCUCAAAUUUGAAAUCUGGCCUCACGGUCCGAGUUGUAAUUUGUAGAGGAUGCUUCGAGCAUGGUCUGGCCUAAGUUCCUUGGAACAGGACGUCAUAGAGGGUGAGAAUCCCGUAUGCGGCCAGGUGCCUACGCUCAUGUGAAGCUCCUUCGACGAGUCGAGUUGUUUGGGAAUGCAGCUCAAAAUGGGUGGUAAAUUUCAUCUAAAGCUAAAUAUUGGCCAGAGACCGAUAGCGCACAAGUAGAGUGAUCGAAAGAUGAAAAGCACUUUGGAAAGAGAGUUAAACAGUACGUGAAAUUGUUGAAAGGGAAGCGCUUGCAACCAGACUUGCGCGCGGCCGAUCAUCCGGUGUUCUCACCGGUGCACUCGGCCGUGCUCAGGCCAGCAUCGGUUUUGGCGGCUGGAUAAAGGCCCUAGGAAUGUAGCUCCUCUCGGGGAGUGUUAUAGCCUAGGGUGCAAUGCAGCCUGCUGGGACCGAGGACCGCGCUUCGGCUAGGAUGCUGGCGUAAUGGUUGUAAGCGGCCCGUCUUGAAACACGGACCAAGGAGUCUAACAUCUAUGCGAGUGUUUGGGUGUCAAACCCAUACGCGUAAUGAAAGUGAACGGAGGUGAGAACCCUUAAGGGUGCAUCAUCGACCGGUCCUGAAGUUUACGGAAGGAUCUGAGUAAGAGCAUAGCUGUUGGGACCCGAAAGAUGGUGAACUAUGCCUGAAUAGGGUGAAGCCAGA
rnacentral:rRNA from 1 species